GCGGCCUCUGUAGAUAAGUUGGGU
rnacentral:piRNA from 1 species